AUGAAGAUCACAGUGCGGUCAUCCAAGUCCAUCAAGCCUGACUAUGGCAGCGGCCACCUGAUGGCUCCGGCCACGGCCAACGUCGUCCCGCUCACAGUGUUCGACAAAGCCAACUUCGACAUGCACGUCUCUGUCAUCUACGCCUUCCACCCACCAGCCCCGUCCCAUGACGUCCUCGAGGCCGGGCUCGCCAAGGCCCUCGCCGACUACCGCGAGUGGGCCGGCCGUCUCACCCUGGACGCCAACGGCAAGCGCUGCGCCAUCCUACUCAACGACGCCGGUGCGCGAUUCGUCGAAGCGACGGCCGGCGUGGCGCUCGACAGCGUCAUGCCUCUGCAGCCCACUCCCGAGGUGCUGAGCCUGCACCCGACCGGCGGUGGCGACGAGCUGCUGUUGAUCCAGGCCACGAGGUUCGCAUGCGGGUCCCUCGUCGUUGGCCUGACUGGGCACCACAUGGUCACCGACGGUGGCGGCUGGUGCAACCUCAUCAUCGCGUGGGGUCAGGCCACGCGAGGCGCCUCCAUUGACCCUGUCCCAGUGCACGAUCGGCCGUCCUUCUUCCUGCCGCGCAACCCGCUUAAGAUAGAGUACGAGCACCACAGCAUCGAGUUCAAGCCAUACGACGACCGCAAUAGUACGGCCGGCGGCGGCGACGACGAGGUGGUGGUAGAGAGGGUCCACUUCAGUAUGGACCACAUCGCAAAACUGAAGUCGCAGGCGUCAGCUGUGGCCGGCACGGGCCGGCCGUACAGCACCGUGCAGUGCGUGGUGGCGCACCUGUGGCGGUGCAUGACGCUGGCGCGCGGCCUCGAUGGGCGUGACGUCACCGGUCUGUUCAUCGCAGUGGACGGGCGAGCGCGGAUGAGCCAGCGGGUGCCGGACGGGUACACCGGCAACGUGGUGCUCUGGGCGCGGCCUACAGCCACCGCGGGGGAGGUCGUGAACAGGCCGCUGCACCACCUGGCGGAGCUCAUCAGCGGGGCGGUUGCCCGGAUUGACGACGCCUACUUCAAGUCUUUCAUCGACUUCGCCUGCUCCGGGGCCGUGGAGGAGGAGGGGCUGGUGCCGACUGCUGACCCGGCGGUGACGGUGCUUAGCCCCAACGUCGAGGUGGACAGCUGGCUGCGGAUCCCGUUCUAUGAUCUGGAUCUGGGCAGCGGCCGGCCCUUCUUCUUCAUGCCCAGCUACCUGCCAGUGGAGGGAGGGGUCAUCCUCGUGCCUUCCUUCUAUGGCGAUGGGAGCGUGGAUGCCUACGUGCCCCUUUUCAGCCGCCACAUGGACGCCUUCAAGAACUGCUGCACAUCCGGCCUCCCCAAACUCUGA
rnacentral:rRNA from 1 species